CCCAUUCAAUUAGAAUGGAUAUCUGUUGAAAUGCAAGAAAAAUUUAACAGCUCUCAUUAAAUUGCAGGUUUAUGAAGGAAUCGUUCUGAAAGGCACAGAAAAACUUACUCCACUAAAGUGGAUAUUGAGGUUGAUCAUUGAUGAUAGGUUCAAGCUGAAUUUUUUAAGCUUGGUACUGAGGAUAUUGAAGAGAAAAUAGAAUGUGACAAUGAACAGUGUCCAGCUGUUUCUCAACACACCUCAGGGGUGGAAGAGCAAUCCAGUCAGAAUACAGAGUUUUGUCUGAGUCAGUCAUCCUAAGGAACUGUAUGUGACUACUGGAGACGACCC